UUACGGUGAUUCCAUGAGACGUGAUUCCUGUGUUCUUGAAGCGCCGUGUUCUGGACAAGCUGCGUGUGGCUGACAUCGCAAACCUAAGCAUGGAACCGAUUCAGCCCCGUUGUUUUGGUGGGACAUGUCCGGCAAUAGAUGGUACCACAGAGAAGACUUCCGCCUCUUCAACGUCGCCGAACACAUUUUCUCCAGCUGCAGCAAGCUUGUCCCUCAUUGUGAGCUCGUCACAAAGAUUUUAGUGAAACAAGCCCGCUUGGUUCUUGUGCAAGAUUGGAACAAGCUCGUCAAUGCUCUGCGGAAUGUGAUAUUUUGACUUGAUCAUUGAGCUUUUCGAAAAUUUCUAAAUGCUUUCCUAAAAGGGAGUCGUACUUCUUCAGGACGUUCAAAAGUCGGUAAGCUUGAAAUAGGACAGAAAUUACGAUGAAUCCGGAUGAAUAUAACAGAAAAUGUGUUUCGGAUUAAUGCGAUCAAUAUUAAAGUUCAAGUUUUUGUAAUCUAAAUAA